rnacentral:rRNA from 1 species
UGCGUAGGCGGUGCGGUAAGUCUUCUGUGAAAUCUCCGGGCUCAACUCGGAGUCUGCAGGAGAAACUGCCGUGCUUGAGUAUGGGAGAGGUGAGUGGAAUUCCUGGUGUAGCGGUGAAAUGCGUAGAUAUCAGGAGGAACACCUGUGGCGAAAGCGGCUCACUGGACCAUAACUGACGCUGAGGCACGAAAGCUAGGGGAGCAAACAGGAUUGGAUACCCUGGUAGUCCUAGCCCUAAACGAUGAUUGCUUGGUGUAGCAGGUACCCAAUCCUGCUGUGCCGCAGCUAACGCGUUAAGCAAUCCGCCUGGGGAGUACGGUCGCAAGGCUGAA